GUGUGUACUUAGCUUAAAUUCCUUGUCUAUGUCCAACCAUAGACAGUCAAUUUAGUUCCAUCUUUAGCCGCUAGGUGCUGCCAGCAAGUAUAAAGGAAGCGCAGCCAUCUUUGAUCUUCAUAGUCUUCACCAGGAAGAACUUCCUGCAAUGCUGUAUGUUUUCCUUCUCGGCACAUAAUAUCGGUUUUAUUGUUAUGUAAAACCGUAAUAUUGAUGUGCCUUUGGAAAACAUACAGCAUUGUAUUAUGAAGACGUGUUUGUUAUCUGCUGGUGAAAUUAUUAAGCACAACGCUAUGAUGAAAUAGAAAGUCGACAGCGCUGCUUUAUGCAGAAGGAUUGUUUUACAGGCAAAAUUUUCUUUUUGAAAAAGAAGAGAAAAAAGAGAAAAAAAGAAAACAGAGUUUGGCAACAUCUGCAGACUUAGGAUCAAUUUUAAAACUAGCACCAUAUGCACCAUCUUCUAGUUGCUGGUAAGUAUGCUGGCAAAGAGGAUUGACACCAGCUUAUUUUCAAUAAAUCUUCUCCUGUGUA